rnacentral:lncRNA from 1 species
AUGAUUUUGAGAGAAAUUUCCCAGAAUCCAUUCUCAUUUCUUUGCAUCUCUCAAACCCCAUUUUUCAAACAAAUUCGACUCCAGUAGUAAAUGGAUUUCACCAACAAAUUUAAGAAAUUCCAAAAAUAAAUUUCAGCAACAAAUUUAGGAAAUUCCAGCAACAAAUUCAACAAAUCGAUUCCAACAACAAAUUUAGGAAAUCCGAGCAACAAAUUCAGGAAAUUCCAGCAACAAAUUCGAACAAAUUCAACAAAUCAAUUCUAGCAACAAAUUUAGAAAAUUCCAAACCAACGGAGGCAGAGCGCGACUAGGAGCGGAGCAGAGGAGGAGUCGGCGUCGCAGACAACGGCGAGAGCGAGUUCCUGUGGUGCGGAGCGGAGCGCGUCGACUGGGAGUGGAGCGGAGCGCGUCGUGCUCAGAGGAAGGCGGUGAAUUUUUGGGAGGCGGCGCCUUAGGGUUUCGAGCUCAGAGGGAGCGAGGCAACGAGAUCAGUGAGGCGGUGCUUUCAGACGAUGACGAAGAAGGAGAGAGACGCCGCACCACUCUAGAGAGAUCUAGAAGAUAGGGUUUGAAGAGUUGAUGGGGGCGGUGAGCCGAGGCACGGCGGCGGCGACGACCUAGCUGCUGCCGGAGAGGUGAAGGGGAAGAGGGGCGUAGGUCGGGUCCGAGCCUCGCCGGAGGAGGAACCACGUCGGGGAAGAGGGGAAGGGGAAGAAGGGCGUAGGGUUGGUGAGGGAGAAGAGGUGUGCGUGCGUAGAGUGAGAGAAUUUUAUGAUUAAUUGUGUUUAAUUAAGUUUAAGUGAGGAGAGUUUUUAAUUAUUGAGGUGGGUCCUCAAUGGCAAAUGAAGUAAAUACAUAAAGUUAUAAAGGGUAUAAUUGUAUAAAAAGUGAAACAGGACUCUUUUUGUGGAACAAAAAAAAGAGGGAAAUAGGACUCUUUUCGUGGACGGAGGGAGUAUAAUUUAUAUUAGGGAACACUAAUUCAAUAAUCUUAUGUAAUNGGUGUCGGUUUCUAUUUUUUGUUCGAUUUUAAACCGAACCGAUACAUAUUAAUAUUUUAUUAUAUAUAAUUAUUUUAUAAUAUAUAAUUAUUUUUCUAAUUUUUUAACCUAAAACUAAAACCCUAAUUCACAAUUAUAAUAUAUAAUUAUUUAUCAUGUUCAUGUUGUGGGGAUUUGACAUUUAAAAUUUGUGUAUUUUAUAUUAUUUUACAAUUUUUAAUUAGUAUUUUCGAAAAAAAUAAAAUAAAAAAAUUGCAUUGUUCGGUUCGGUUUCGGUUCGGUUCUGGACCCCCAAUUGAUGCGGUUCGGUUCCAAUUUUAACCAUCGGUUCGGUUUUGAGUUUUUUGUUCGGUUUUGCACCGAACCGAACCGAUGCUCACCCCUAGUUAUAUACUCACUCCAUUCAUGAAAAAGAGUCUUAUUUGAGGUUCGGCACGGGUUUUAAGAAAAUUGUUAAAUUGUAAGUGGAGAGAGAAGUAAAUUUAUAGGGGUAGUGUUAAUGAUAAUUUUAAUUGCUUAAUCUUUCAAAUUAACUAUCGAGUAAACAAUUUCACCAAAUUGCAAACAAUGUCAGUGAAUGGAUAAAGAAAUCCAACAAAUUUAGCAAAUUUCAAACAAAAUCAGUAAUGGUAAAGAUUUUCAACAAAUUUCGAACAGAAAUUCAGUGAGAAGCCAUAGCCAAGAAGUGAGAAGCCAUAGCCAAGAAAGUGGAGCAGAGAGAUGAUUUUGACAGAAAUUUCCCAGAAUCCAUUCUCAUUUCUUUGCAUCUCUCAAACCCCAUUUUUCUAAACAAAUUCGACUCCAGUAGUAAAUGGAUUUCACCAACAAAUUUAAGAAAUUCCAAAAAUAAAAUUUCAGCAACAAAUUUAGGAAAUUCCAGCAACAAAUUCAACAAAUCGAUUCCAACAACAAAUUUAGGAAAUCCGAGCAACAAAUUCAGGAAAUUCCAGCAACAAAUUCGAACAAAUUCAACAAAUCAAUUCUAGCAACAAAUUUAGAAAAUUCCAAACCAACGGAGGCAGAGCGCGACUAGGAGCGGAGCAGAGGAGGAGUCGGCGUCGCAGACAACGGCGAGAGCGAGUUCCUGUGGUGCGGAGCGGAGCGCGUCGACUGGGAGUGGAGCGGAGCGCGUCGUGCUCAGAGGAAGGCGGUGAAUUUUUGGGAGGCGGCGCCUUAGGGUUUCGAGCUCAGAGGGAGCGAGGCAACGAGAUAGUGAGGCGGUGCUUUCAGACGAUGACGAAGAAGGAGAGAGACGCCCACCACUCUAGAGAGAUCUAGAAGAUAGGGUUUGAAGAGUUGAUGGGGGCGGUGAGCCGAGGCACGGCGGCGGCGACGACCUAGCUGCUGCCGGAGAGGUGAAGGGGAAGAGGGGCGUAGGUCGGGUCCGAGCCUCGCCGGAGGAGGAACCACGUCGGGGAAGAGGGGAAGGGGAAGAAGGGCGUAGGUUUGGUGAGGGAGAAGAGGUGUGCGUGCGUAGAGUGAGAGAAUUUUAUGAUUAAUUGUGUUUAAUUAAGUUUAAGUGAGGAGAGUUUUUAAUUAUUGAGGUGGGUCCUCAAUGGCAAAUGAAGUAAAUACAUAAAGUUAUAAAGGGUAUAAUUGUAUAAAAAGUGAAACAGGACUCUUUUUUGUGGACAAAAAAAAGAGGGGAAAUAGGACUCUUUUUCGUGGACGGAGGGAG